GAAAUGCGAAAAGGAAUGUAAGACGCAUUUUAGAGAGAAACAUUGAGUAUUUGAACGCAAAUGGCGCGCUGUGGGCAACCGCAGGGCAUGGAUGUUUGAGAGUCUCUUGACUACGAGGGCCCUGUUGGGACCGAGUUGAGGCUUCAAGGGGCUACCUUUGGGCCUUGAAAGGCAUGAGUGGUCUUUGGGGAGACGCAUUGCAUUGGUUCUGCGAAUAGCGGAUUAGCGCGGUGUUCUUCCUAGUGGCCGCACUCCUAGCACAGCAAGGAUCAUCGCCUAUGGCGCGAUCCUUACUUUGGACCUCAAAUCAUCCAAGACUACCCGCUGAAUUUAA
rnacentral:misc_RNA from 1 species